rnacentral:lncRNA from 1 species
GGAAGAAGUGCACAAUUUGUAGUGCACAAAAGGUGUAAGUUGAGAGGUGCGCAAUUGGGAAGGUACACAAUUUUAGUUUGUAGAAGGUGUGCAAAAUGCUUAAAAGAUGGAGGUUCACUAAGUGUUUUUAAACUAAAAAGGUGCAUAAUUCAAGUGGUGCUUUAGAGGAUGUUGGGUGUGGUGUCACUCUGCACAUUUUUAUUUACUUCACAACAUUAUAGUUCACAAUUUGAUUGGUGAAUAGGUUGGGUGUAGUGUGCCACUCUGCACAAGUCUAUUACAAAUAUUAUAUUAUUAUCCUUUAAUUCACAUUUCAAAUUCUAAAAUUAUAGGUUAAUCACUUGGUAUUUUAGUUUAACCAUGGUUUUAGAAUUUGGGGUGUGACAAUUUAAGGCCAAAAUCAAUCCGAAAUCAAAUUGAAUCUUAAGACCAAAUUUACAUCCAAAACUUAGAUUUUUAUUUUUGAAACCAGA